rnacentral:rRNA from 1 species
GUCGAACGGCAGCACGGAGCUUGCUCUGGUGGCGAGUGGCGAACGGGUGAGUAAUAUAUCGGAACGUACCCUGGAGUGGGGGAUAACGUAGCGAAAGUUACGCUAAUACCGCAUACGAUCUACGGAUGAAAGUGGGGGAUCGCAAGACCUCAUGCUCGUGGAGCGGCCGAUAUCUGAUUAGCUAGUUGGUAGGGUAAAAGCCUACCAAGGCAUCGAUCAGUAGCUGGUCUGAGAGGACGACCAGCCGCACUGGAACUGAGACACGGUCCAGACUCCUACGGGAGGCAGCAGUGGGGAAUUUUGGACAAUGAGCGAAAGCCUGAUCCAGCAAUGCCGCGUGAGUGAAGAAGGCCUUCGGGUUGUAAAGCUCUUUUGUCAGGGAAGAAACGGUGAGGGCUAAUAUCCCUUGCUAAUGACGGUACCUGAAGAAUAAGCACCGGCUAACUACGUGCUAGCAGCCGCGGUAAUACGUAGGGUGCAAGCGUUAAUCGGAAUUACUAGGCGUAAAGCGUGCGCAGGCGGUUUUGUAAGUCUGAUGUGAAAUCCCCGGGCUCAACCUGGGAAUCGCAUUGGAGACUGCAAGGCUAGAAUCUGGCAGAGGGGGGUAGAAUUCCACGUGUAGCAGUGAAAUGCGUAGAUAUGUGGAGGAACACCGAUGGCGAAGGCAGCCCCCUGGGUCAAGAUUGACGCUCAUGCACGAAAGCGUGGGGAGCAAACAGGAUUAGAUACCCUGGUAGUCCACGCCCUAAACGAUGUCUACUAGUUGUCGGGUCUUAAUUGACUUGGUAACGCAGCUAACGCGUGAAGUAGACCGCCUGGGGAGUACGGUCGCAAGAUUAAAACUCAAAGGAAUUGAC